UACGUAGGGUGCAAGCGUUGCUCGGAAUUACUGGGCGUAAAGCGUGCGCAGGCGGCUUUUCAAGUCAGAUGUGAAAUCCCCGGGCUUAACCUGGGAACUGCAUUUGUGACUGCAUGGCUGGAGUGCGGCAGAGGGGGAUGGAAUUCCGCGUGUAGCAGUGAAAUGCGUAGAUAUGCGGAGGAACACCGAUGGCGAAGGCAAUCCCCUGGGCCGGUACUGACGCUCAGGCACGAAAGCGUGGGGAGCAAACAGG
rnacentral:rRNA from 1 species